GUCGCGUUGCCAUGGCAAGGCUCCGCGCGGGACCCGCCCCCGCGGUGCCUACAGAAGCAAGGAGUAGACUGACCAGCCUGAGGGGCGACCAAGCGAGGGGCUUGAUCGAGCGCCGGGUCUGCGAGGCUGCAGGUGAUGAGCAGGAUCCCCUGGAAAGAUGCUCCUUACAGGCACGGGGUACGCUGUCAGCUGCUUGAGUGUCUUACAACAUGGCAGCCCGUCUUCUCCAAUGUGAGUGUCCAGGAGAGAGCAAGAAGCUGCCUGGGCCUUAUGACCUGCCUCUGAAGGUUUG
rnacentral:lncRNA from 1 species